GCGCGGCCCGCAGCGGCCUCCCGCAGAGUUUCCGGCAGGACCGCAGGAAGCGCGCAUGCGCGGCCUCGCUCUGCCCGCAAGCUCUGCACGGGGCAAACUGUGUUCCUUUCCACUUCGGGACUGCAGGGGCUGGUUCGGUUCACGGAACUCGGAGGUUUUCCCCGCCCAGAGCUGAUGCGCACAGUUGAACAAGAGCAACUCAAUGAAGAGGUUGUUUUUAUAAUUCGUUGCUGAUCCCUUUUCUCCUCAUUCUGUGGGAUUUACCCAGCUGCUAGCCCCCCUGAGCACCCGGCGAUAGCUGGCAAACGUCAUCUACUGCCGGUAGCAUCACCUCGAAGGGGGCAGGAGGGCUCCAGGUCAGAGACACAUCGGGGAGACCGCCUCUGCGUGCUGUCAGGACGGACUGGCCGUGCUGUGUAACACACACGCCCAAGCCCGGAGUCUCACACGAGUCGCCUGCGGUGGCCUCCGACCCCCACGGGCCUCAUUCCUGGCGCCUGGUCUCAGGCAGGCCGCAGGUCCAGUCGGGAAGAAAGAACGCGGAGAAUCAGGAACCAGCUUUUCAGUGUUCGCCCUUGGGUGACGCAUGGCCCUUCUGAUGAAGGUCACGCCUCUUUCACCAUCCGUCCAUCCAAGUGGCAGUGGCCUCCUAAGUGUAGGCCAGUGACAUCCAGCUGCAUCUGGAAACUCAGCCCUGGGACAAAGUCCAGAUCCCCUCAGAGGACCCAGCAGAGGACCCGCCAGCCGGCAGGGCUCCCCGUUUCUCCUGGACACACUUCCCUCCGCCGCCGACCCUGCCUCCCUACAUCUCCCUCCACCGAGUCAGCGCUUUCCUAUUUCCACCACGGUUGAGUGAAUACGGUCCCCACGGCCACAUCUGGAGAUGAUGCGGCAGGGAGCGUCUGUGGAGGCUGACUCACUGGGCCCCUCCCUUCUGGGGAGACAGGAUUUGGGGGCCCGGGCUGCCCUGAGGCCAGCCCACCAUGGAGAGUGCUCCACAGCCAUCCUGUGCCCAUUCAGGGUGCAUUGUCAGAAGCCCUCGAAAGUAACAUUUGCCCCAAGACGGCUCCUUCCUCACCGGCAACGGCGUCUGCAUCAUCUGGCACCAGACACAGCUCUCGUGGGCCCUGGGAGCCAGGAUCCCUGGGGGUCUCAGAAGAUGUGCACUUCUCAGCGAGGCUCGGAAUCGCUGCCAAGAGGGAUUAGCCCUAGAAUCCAUCGGCGAUGAGCGUUUGUCCUGUUGACCUUCAGUGUCAUUGCUGGAGGCACAGGUCACUGGGCCCACCCCCAGGCCCUACCCAGCUGGCCUUGGAAAGCCUGAGAACCUGCAUUUCGACAAGUUCCUGGGGACCCUGCUCUGAGAAGGACUGGACGCGGACUCGUGAGGGUUUCACGGUGGGAUAAGGGUGUGGCCAGGACUGAGCUCAGCAGGUCAGGAGAGCAGCCAGAGAGGAGGUCCCGGAGGCCCCACCUGGCCGGAUUCAGGAGGCUCCCUCGUGCAGCCCAGCUUCAAAGUGACCCCAGCUGAUUCCUGUCAACCUUGCUGCGCUCAGACUCAGAAUUAGAUGAUCGUGUGUAUCGUUGCAUACGUGCAUGUGUGCGCAGGCAGGUUUGCUGGGUCACACCUCCUGUGGACAAUACCGUGCUGAACAACGUGCCUAAACCUCCACGUUUCCUGCAGCUGUGUUUCUCCGAGUUCCUGAUUCCGGUGAGGCUGACAUUGGACGGUCCCGGCCAGAACCCCAGGACGCCGCCCUCACUGCGCGACCCUAUUCAGAAAGCGGGAACACGUGUGGUCCUCGGGCAGGCGGGGUCCCAGACUGGCGGGUUGGGGCACGCCCACCCACUGCCUGACGUGUAGAAAAAACAGAAAUGUGUUCUAGAUACUUAAGAAUUAAUUUAAAAGUUUAAACUUUCGGGGAGCCUGGGUGGGCGACUGACUUCAGCUCAGGUC